GAGAUAGCUCAUUCGGUAGAGCAUGAGACUCUUAAUCUCCAGCUCAUGGGUUCGAGUCCCAGGUUGGGCA